GUCCAGCUGACGAGCCCCAAGUAGGACGAAACGCGCGUCGAACUGGAU
rfam:Schistosoma haematobium scaffold246_2, whole genome shotgun sequence.